rnacentral:rRNA from 1 species
UUUCCGUAGCUCAAGUACGGGACAGCUUGACCGCCAGGUCAAGGUGAUCUUCCGCGUAACACUUGCCGAAGCUUAGCAGCCCGAAAGGGUGCAGUUCCGCGACUCAAAGAAAGGAGGACUGCUGAAAUGCUAGUCUGCAGAAGCAGGCAACACUAUCAAAUUGCGGGAACACCCUAAAGACCUCAACACCCAGCGUCAUGGGAAACCAUGGCGUGGCCGAGCUAAUAGCCCUGGGUAUGGUAACAGCUUGAGGUAUGAAGCCUUCGCAAGGAGGCUGAAAUGGGCAAUCCGCAGCCAAGUCCUAACGUGCUCGAAACCGAGUGCCAUGGAUGCUGUUCACAGGCCAAAUGGUAGUGGGUGACUCUUGCGAGUUGCUUAAGAUAUGGUCGGGCCCCUUCAGAAAUGUGGGGGAUAAGCUUACGCUUCUCUAAACCGUUCCGUAGGUGAACCUGCGGAAGGAUCAUUA